rnacentral:rRNA from 1 species
CCUGGCUCAGAAUUAACGCUGGCGGAGUGCAUAACACAUGCAAGUCGGACGAGAUUAUGGGAGCCCGUAAGGGUUUCUAUAGUUUAGUGGCAAACGGGUGAGUAAUGCGUAGGUGACCUGCCUUGAGAUGAGACAUAGCUCUACGAAAGUGGAGGUAAUUUCUCAUAAGACCACAGUUAUAAAUGACUGCGGUUAAAGUCCUGCGUAAGCAGAUACGUCUUAAGAGGGGCCUGCGUCCUAUCAGCUUGUUGGUGAGGUAACGGCCCACCAAGGCUAUGACGGGUAGCCGSCCUGAAAGGGUGAUCGGCCACACUGGAACUGAGACACGGUCCMSMCUCCUACGGGAGGCAGCAGUGAGGAAUUUUGUGCAAUGGGGGAAACCCUGACACAGCAACUCCGCGUGAAGGACGAAGGUUUUCGGAUUGUAAACUUCUUUUAGAGGGGAAGAUG